GACGAACGCUGGCGGCGUGCUUAACACAUGCAAGUCGAACGGAAAGGCUCCAGCUUGCUGGAGUACUCGAGUGGCGAACGGGUGAGUAACACGUGGGUAAUCUGCCCUGCACUCUGGGAUAAGCCUGGGAAACUGGGUCUAAUACUGGAUAUGACCUUUCUCCUUAUGGGGUUUGGUGGAAAGUUUUUCGGUGUAGGAUGAGCCCGCGGCCUAUCAGCUUGUUUGUGGGGUGAUGGCCUACCAAGGCGACGACGGGUAGCCGGCCUGAGAGGGUGAUCGGCCACAUUGGGACUGAGAUACGGCCCAGACUCCUACGGGAGGCAGCAGUGGGGAAUAUUGCACAAUGGGCGGAAGCCUGAUGCAGCGACGCCGCGUGAGGGAUGACGGCCUUCGGGUUGUAAACCUCUUUCAGCAGGGACGAAGCGUAAGUGACGGUACCUGCAGAAGAAGCACCGGCUAACUAUGUG
rnacentral:rRNA from 1 species